AGAGUUUGAUCCUGGCUCAGAAUCAACGCUGGCGGCCGCCUAACACAUGCAAGUCGAACGAGAAAGUGGAGCAAUCCAUGAGUACAGUGGCGUACGGGUGAGUAACACGUGGGUAAUCUGCCUCUUAGUGUGGAAUAACCCUGGGAAACCGGGGCUAAUACCGCAUAAUCCCGAGAGGGGAAAGCAGCAAUGCGCUGAGAGAGGAGCCCGCGGCCGAUUAGCUUGUUGGCAGGGUAAAAGCCUACCAAGGCAGUGAUCGGUAGCCGGCCUGAGAGGGCACACGGCCACACUGGCACUGAAACACGGGCCAGACUCCUACGGGAGGCAGCAGUGGGGAAUCUUGCACAAUGGGGGAAACCCUGAUGCAGCGACGCCGCGUGAGCGAUGAAGCCCUUCGGGGUGUAAAGCUCUUUCGGCAGGGAAGAUGAUGACGGUACCUGCAGAAGCAGCUGCGGCUAACUACGUGCCAGCAGCCGCGGUAAUACGUAGGCAGCAAGCGUUGUUCGGAGUUACUGGGCGUAAAGGGUGUGUAGGCGGUUUGGUAAGUCUGGUGUGAAAUCUCCCGGCUCAACUGGGAGGGUGCGCCGGAAACUGCCGGACUCGAGUGCGGGAGAGGAGAGUGGAAUUCCUGGUGUAGCGGUGAAAUGCGUAGAUAUCAGGAGGAACACCGGUGGUGUAGGCGGCUCUCUGGACCGUAACUGACGCUGAGACACGAAAGCGUGGGUAGCAAACAGGAUUAGAUACCCUAGUAGUCC
rnacentral:rRNA from 1 species